rnacentral:rRNA from 1 species
AUUGAACGCUGGCGGCAGGCUUAACACAUGCAAGUCGAGCGGGGUGAUGGUGCUUGCACUAUCACUUAGCGGCGGACGGGUGAGUAAUGCUUAGGAAUCUGCCUAUCAGUGGGGGACAACAUCUCGAAAGGGAUGCUAAUACCGCAUACGUCCUACGGGAGAAAGCAGGGGAUCACUUGUGACCUUGCGCUAAUAGAUGAGCCUAAGUCGGAUUAGCUAGUUGGUGGGGUAAAGGCCUACCAAGGCGACGAUCUGUAGCGGGUCUGAGAGGAUGAUCCGCCACACUGGGACUGAGACACGGCACAGACUCCUACGGGAGGCAGCAGUGGGGAAUAUUGGACAAUGGGGGGAACCCUGAUCCAGCCAUGCCGCGUGUGUGAAGAAGGCCUUAUGGUUGUAAAGCACUUUAAGCGAGGAGGAGGCUUACCUAGUUAAUACCUGGGAUAAGUGGACGUUACUCGCAGAAUAAGCACCGGCUAACUCUGUGCCAGCCGCCGCAGUAA